UACGGAGGGUGCAAGCGUUAUCCGGAUUCACUGGGUUUAAAGGGUGCGUAGGUGGGCAGGUAAGUCAGUGGUGAAAUCUCCGGGCUUAACCCGGAAACUGCCAUUGAUACUAUCUGUCUUGAAUAUUGUUGAGGUAGGCGGAAUAAGUCAUGUAGCGGUGAAAUGCAUAGAUAUGACUUAGAACACCAAUUGCGAAGGCAGCUUGCUAAACAAUCAUUGACGCUGAGGCACGAAAGCGUGGGGAUCAAACAGG
rnacentral:rRNA from 1 species